rnacentral:rRNA from 1 species
AGUGAACGCUGGCGGUAGGCCUAACACAUGCAAGUCGAACGGCAGCACAGGAGAGCUUGCUCUCGGGGUGGCGAGUGGCGGACGGGUGAGGAAUACAUCGGAAUCUACUCUGUCGAGGGGGAUAACGAAGGGAAACUUCCGCUAAUACAGCGUACGACCUACGGGAGAAAGCAGGGGACCUACGGACCUUGCGCGAUUGAAUGAGCCGAUGUCGGAUGAGCUAGUUGGCGGGGUAAAGGCCCACCAAGGCGACGAUCCGUAGCGGGUCUGAGAGGAUGAUCAGCCACACUGGAACGGAGACACGGUCCAGACUCCUACGGGAGGCAGCAGUGGGGAAUAUUGGACAAUGGGCGCAAGCCUGAUCCAGCCAUACCGCGCGGGUGAAGAAGGCCUUCGGGUUGUAAAGCCCUUUUGUUGGGAAAGAAAUCCAGCUGGCUAAUACCCGGUUGGGAUGACGGUACCCAAAGAAUAAGCACCGGCUAACUUCGUGCCAGCAGCCGCCGUAA